UACGGGGGGUGCGAGCGUUAAUCGGAAUUACUGGGCGUAAAGGGUGCGUAGGUGGUUUGAUAAGUUAUCUUAGAAAGACCUGGGCUUAACCUGGGUAUAUGAGAUAAGACUGUUAGACUUGAGUAUAGUAGAGGGUAGUGGAAUUUCCGGUGUAGCGGUGAAAUGCGUAGAUAUCGGAAGGAACACCGGUGGCGAAGGCGGCUACCUGGGCUAAUACUGACACUGAUGCACGAAAGCGUGGGGAGCAAACAGG
rnacentral:rRNA from 1 species